UGGCAUUGGCUAGUGAUGGAAAAAAAGCGGAAAGGGGCGUGGCCUGGGCGGGGCGACCAAUCACAACAAGGAAGACAUCAUACAUGUCCAAUCGCAGGGCUGUUUACAAUCGGAAGAUGGAAAGACUGAUCGGGAGAGCACGUGAAAACUCGACGAUAAGGUACCCGACCCCCCCUAAAAUUUUCUCAGCGGAUUUAGACGAUUCACAAGAAUUAUCAAUUUAAGAAAUAAAACAGCGGAUUUCCGCGUAUCCGCAGAAAAUUGCCAUCCCUGUACAAUAGCAGACUUGCGCCAUGAUCGGACUGUGUUUUGCGCAAUGGAAACUGAAC